rnacentral:rRNA from 1 species
UGCCAGACUCCUACGGGAGGCAGCAGUGGGGAAUAUUGCACAAUGGGGGAAACCCUGAUGCAGCGACGCCGCGUGAGCGAUGAAGUAUUUCGGUAUGUAAAGCUCUAUCAGCAGGGAAGAAGAUGACGGUACCUGACUAAGAAGCCCCGGCUAACUACGUGCCAGCAGCCGCGGUAAUACGUAGGGGGCAAGCGUUAUCCGGAUUUACUGGGUGUAAAGGGAGCGUAGACGGCGAUGCAAGCCAGAUGUGAAAGCCCGGGGCUCAACCCCGGGACUGCAUUUGGAACUGUGUGGCUGGAGUGUCGGAGAGGCAGGCGGAAUUCCUAGUGUAGCGGUGAAAUGCGUAGAUAUUAGGAAGAACACCAGUGGCGAAGGCGGCUUUCUGGACUGAAACUGACGCUGAGGCACGAAAGCGUGGGGAGCGAACAGGAUUAGAUACCCCAGUAC